rnacentral:rRNA from 1 species
GACGAACGCUGGCGGCGUGCUUAACACAUGCAAGUCGAGCGGAAAGGCCCUGCGUUUGCUGCGUGCACGAGAGGGGAGCGGGUGAGUAAAACAUGAGUAACCCGCCCUUGACAUAGGGAUAACAUCAGGGGACUGGGGCUCAAAACGGGUAGGAUCUACUGCUGCACGGUGUGGAAUGGUAAGUGUCGGCGGUUGGGGCUGGACUCGAGGCUUAUGCGCUUGUUGGUGGGGUAGUGGAGUACCAAGGCUUAGACGGGUAGCCGGCCUGGGAGGGGGACCGGCCACAAUGGGCCUGCGAGACGCCCCAGACUCCUACGGGAGGCAGCAGUGGGGAAUAUUGCACAAUGGGCGGAAGCCUGAUGCAGCGAUGCCGCGUGCGGGAUGAUGGCCUUCGGGUUGUAAACCGCUUUCUACGGAGACGAAGAGUGAGUGACGGUACCUGGUCAAGAAGCACCGGCUAACUACGUG